rnacentral:rRNA from 1 species
GCAGCCGCGGUAAUACGGAGGAUGCGAGCGUUAUCCGGAUUUAUUGGGUUUAAAGGGUGCGUAGGCGGGCUGUCAAGUCAGCGGUCAAAAGUCGGGGCUCAACCCCGUGAAGCCGUUGAAACUGGCAGCCUUGAGUGAGCGAGAAGCAGGCGGAAUGCGUGGUGUAGCGGUGAAAUGCAUAGAUAUCACGCAGAACCCCGAUUGCGAAGGCAGCCUGCCGGCGCUCAACUGACGCUGAGGCACGAAAGUGCGGGGAUCGAACAGGAUUAGAUACCCC